rnacentral:lncRNA from 1 species
GGGAACUGUUUAAUUAGCACAUGUGUGUUUAUCUUUUGAUUUGAGUCUCCGGUUAUUUAAACACCUCCUAAAACUUUUCUUCUCACUCCAAAUUACACACAUCAGUGUAUUUUGGAGGGAGCUGAAAUACAGAAAUGUUUUUAAUAACUGUCAUUAACAACUUGAGGGACAAUAUCAGAUGGCCAUAUGGCACCACAAGAACUCCUGCCCAUCCAGAAUCCACAGUGUCCAAGAAAAUAGUCAGUGAGGAAAAUGUUUAAGUUGGCGCAAGGUUUUCAGCCAACCAAAGAUAAAACUGCUCAACAUGCUCAGAUCUCAGAGCUCAGAGAUAUACAGACCACUGUUCUGUGACUAUUUAUCCUCAUGGUAGAGAGUCUGAUUUUCUUAAGAGUGCUAUUGUUGUUCUCAGGAACUCUCGACUGACUGUGUGGUAUAAAGCAUUCUGGUUUUAAUUAGAGAAGAAAUGCACAUCUUAGGAAAAUACUAUUAACUGCCAUCUUAGGGUUAUAGCUACACCGUUUUUUGGCAGAUAAUAAGCCAGUACAAAAUGAUUAUAAAUAUACCUUGGCUGCAAAACAUUUGUUUUGUACUAAAAAGCAGAGUUUUUAAAAUUAAAACUGAUGAAUAUCAGUGUGUUUGUUUGCAUGCCACCUUGUUUUUAAUGUAGCUGAUUCCUGAUAGUCGACAGUAAAAGGCAGAGUCUAGGAGUGAUGUAGAGUGAUGCAGCCUAUCUUAAUCCUGCUUGCUGAGGCUUAUGAUCCACAAGACUGCUGCUGUGCUGUUACUCAUAAGGAUUUAUUAGUUUUCACUCUCCAUUUCAUUGUCUUUUAAUGCAGGACAAGAACUGGAUCACCAUCUUCAUGUUUGUUAAAAGAAAUGCAUUUAUCAUACCUCUGAUUCAGAGAUAAAAAUGUGGUGUCGCAUAUGUUUAUUAUUCACUUACAAUUCCACCACAGACCCCAAGCCUAAAAUGUGCUCUUACCUGGACUGAAAAGAAAAGAGGUUUUCCUGAACCAGGAAUAUGAAAUACUGUCUCUUCACUGCAUAGUUUAGCCCCUUAAGUAUUGAUAGUUUUUCUUAACAUUUUGAAGAUGAUGAUAACUUGUGCGUUGGUCCAAUCCGUUGUCUGUGAGGAUCAGCCUCAGUAUUUCAGCUCAUUCUUUCCUUUGCGGAGGGAGCUUCAUUAUCUCCAGCACUCCUCUUUCAGGUCUUUCUGUCUGUACAGAAGUCAGGGACCACAAUGUGGAUGCUGUUGGCAGAGGGAGCUUUG